rnacentral:hammerhead_ribozyme from 1 species
AUUCAGCUGUCGAUUCCUAAACAGAACGAAACGCUUGUCCUGGAU